rnacentral:rRNA from 1 species
CUCUGUGACUCCUACGGGAGGCAGCAGUGGGGAAGUAUUGCACAAUGGGGGAAACCCUGAUGCAGCCAUGCCGCGUGUGUGAAGAAGGCCUUCGGGUUGUAAAGCACUUUCAGUAGGGAGGAAGGUAGUGUAGUUAACACCUGCAUUAUUUGACGUUACCUACAGAAGAAGCACCGGCUAACUCCGUGCCAGCAGCCGCGGUAAUACGGAGGGUGCGAGCGUUAAUCGGAAUUACGUGGGACGUAAAGCGCAUGCAGGCGGCCUGUUAAGUCAGAUGUGAAAGCCCGGGGCUUAACCUCGGAAUUGCAUUUAGAAACUGGCAGGCUAGAGUCUUGUAGAGGGGGUAGAAUUUCAGGUGUAGCGGUGAAAUGCGUAGAGAUCUGAAGGAAUACCAGUGGCGAAGGCGGCCCCCUGGACAAAGACUGACGCUCAGAUGCGAAAGCGUGGGGAGCAAACAGGAUUAGAUACCCUGGUAG